CAGUUUAGUCAGUUAGAACUUUCAAUGCAGAAAUUCAGUGCCAUGCAGUCACCCGGAUAAAGCAGCACUUACCUUAAUUGAAAUUUUCUCUGUGAACGAGCAGAGGCAUUAUCCUUUGAAAGCGAUAGGUGGCUCUGGCCUCCCGCUCCUCUUGGAUCCAUCAGUACUAGCCUUAAGCUAUUGUGCCCUCUCAAAGACUCAAGCCACAUCCAAGCAAUACUCCUUCCAGAGAUGGCUGAUUACUAACUCUGCAGGACCAUUCAACUGAGCUACUAGAUUUGAUAAAGUCAACUUCUUUUCUCUCCAGUUUUGUUUCGUGUUGUAGAUGCUUUCCGCUUCAGUUGAGAGUUCAGUGGAUGAGACUGGAGUCACAUUGGAAGGGCAAGACUGCAGAGAAUGCAGGGGAAGGAUCAGCUGAUGGACAGUCUUCUACUGACACUGAUGGACAGGUGGUAAGGCCAUACACAGGUUCAGAUAAAGUAUAGGUGUGAGAGGGGCAUGUUUUGUUGAAGUAGAGAAUCUACUCAAGAAUGUUGCUCAAAUUAUUGAAUUUGUAAAAACACCAGUGUACACUGGAAUUAAUCUGAAUCUUGAGAAAUAAAGUGGACACACAGGAAAUUUUUCUUAUCUCUUAUCUCUUGCUAAUGGUGUUACUAAAGCCGUAUGAAAAUGGAUUCAUUACUUAACUUCUCUGUGCCUCACUUCCCUUAUCUGUAAAGCAGGGAUGAUAAAAAUAGGGAUGCUGUGUAUUAAAAUGACUUAAUUUGUGGAAAACAGUGAGAUUGAUGCCUUGCACAUGGUACAACCAUAUGAUCACUAGUCAAUCUUAUUAAAUAGAAGAAAAUAAUUAUAUCCAGUCCUAAGUGCUCUGAACACAGAAAAAGAAAGUGUUGGCUAUUGGAAUUCCUCUACAAUAGAAUGAUUAAAGCUGUG
rnacentral:lncRNA from 1 species